rnacentral:rRNA from 1 species
ACUACNGGUCUCGCGAAUGCAUCUCAGAUUAGUAGUUGAUCAUGGCUCAGAGUGAACGCUGGCGGUAGGCCUAACACAUGCAAGUCGAACGGCAGCACAGAGGAGCUUGCUCCUUGGGUGGCGAGUGGCGGACGGGUGAGGAAUACAUCGGAAUCUACUCUGUCGUGGGGGAUAACGUAGGGAAACUUACGCUAAUACCGCAUACGACCUACGGGUGAAAGCAGGGGAUCUUCGGACCUUGCGCGAUUGAAUGAGCCGAUGUCGGAUUAGCUAGUUGGCGGGGUAAAGGCCCACCAAGGCGACGAUCCGUAGCUGGUCUGAGAGGAUGAUCAGCCACACUGGAACUGAGACACGGUCCAGACUCCUACGUGGAAGGCAAGACAGAUGUGGNGAAUAUAUGGACAAUUGAGGGCUGCAAGACCUGGAUCCAGNCCAAUACCAGACAGU